GGUUCGAUGGUGUAGUUGGUUAUCACGUCCGUCUCACAUCAAUUUGAAGUGGAUGUUGUGCACGGGAGGUCUCCGGUUCGAACCCGGGUCGAACCA